rnacentral:rRNA from 1 species
UAAUACGGAGGGGGCCAGCGUUGUUCGGAAUCAUUGGGCGUAAAGGGCGCGUAGGCUGCUCAGUAAGUCAGUUGUGAAAUCCCUCGGCUCAACCGAGGAACUGCGUCUGAUACUGCUGGGCUUGAGUCCCGGAGAGGGUAGCGGAAUUCCCAGUGUAGCGGUGAAAUGCGUAGAUAUUGGGAGGAACACCAGUGGCGAAGGCGGCUACCUGGACGGGUACUGACGCUGAGGCGCGAAAGCGUGGGGAGCAAACAGGAUUAGAUACCCUGGUAGUCCACGCCGUAAACGAUGGGCACUUGGUGUUGCGGGUAUCGACCCCUGCAGUGCCGAAGCUAACGCAUUAAGUGCCCCGCCUGGGGAGUACGGUCGCAAGGCUG